rnacentral:lncRNA from 1 species
ACACACACAAUCAACGCACAAGUGUUUACGGAAGGUAUCUCGCCCUUCCAACCUUUAAUUCUAUUAAAGGAUUACAAGAGUAUAACGAGUAACUCCGGCUACUCACUAGUUCCUCCUAUAUGUCUUGGGCUUCUCUUCCCAAUAACUCUAUAUGUCCAUGACAACCCCAUUGGACUAGGUUUAUAUGCACACUCUAGGUGCAUGGCAAUUGACAACCCCAACUGCCUAGGGUUAUGUGGCAGCAUGCAUGCAUGCCAAGCAAUUUAUGCAACUUCCCUUUGUGAGCCCACUACUUGUAACCAUAUGGUCUUAUCCUCAUUGGUAACUUCCUUGCAUAAGUAACCUCCCACUACUUUGGCAACCACCUUGUAAGUAACCACCCACUACUUUGGCAACCACCUUGUGUAAGUAACCACCCACUACUUGUGUGGAUGACUUCCAUUACUUGGUAACCGCCUUGUGUAGUAACUUCCCACUACUUGGUAACCGCCGCGCAUGAUGCUCCCCACUUCGUGGUAACCACCAUGCGUAGUGCUUCUUGGAUAACUGCCCACUACUUGGUAACCGCCGCCCAAGUGUCACACAUGCCAUGCAUGUAGGAAGCACGUCGUCGCAUGUCUACGCACCCGACCUUGAUGCCCAUGCACGCUGAACGCGCACAUGGUGCUAGCUUGCCGCACCUUGCCUGCCUUCGAACCCUCAUGCGUGCCAUCCUUAUGCAGCCCACGCCAUGCCAUUGUGUUGCCUAACCUAACAAAUGGUCUUUGUCAUCAGUGCAUGCACUCUUGUGCUCAUGAGGCUCGCACCCUAUCGGACCCUAGGGUGCUGGAGAUAUCACACCCAUCCGCUGCGCCCUUGUAGUACACCUUAUUGAACCCUUUACGGACCUUUAGGUGCAUAGGUGCUGCGCACCCUGUUGUGCACCUUUGCCGCGCACCCUGUUGGACCCUUGCCGGACCCUGGGGUGCCUUAGUGCUACACACCCUGCCGCGCACCCUUGCUGCGCACCCUGCUGGACCCUUGAUGGACCCUGGGGUGCAUGAGUGUGGUGCACCCCGUUGUGCACCCUAAUGGACCCUUGUCGGACCUUGGGGUGCAUUAGUGCUAUGCACCUUGGUUGUGCACGAUGUUGCGCCUCCUUGCACUAACUUGCCUUGCAUUCUUGCGCAUGUCUUCGACACCUGCGCGUGCCCUUUGUCAUGAUCACUCAAACCUUGUUGCUUUACUUGCAACAACAUAUCGGCACCAUAGCGAACUUUGGAAGUCUUCCAACCACCUGCUCCCUGCAACACACUCGAGUGUCUUCGUUGCUUCGCUACUUUUGUUAGCACCAUUCGAUGAAGUGCUAGUGCAUGAGGCUUUGCACUAGCUUCCAACUCCACCAUGCACAUGGUCUUUGUCAUUAGUGCAUGCACUCUUGUGCUCACGAGGCUCGCACCCUAUCGGACCCUAGGGUGCUGGAGAUAUCACACCCAUCCGCUGCGCCCUUGUAGUACACCUUAUUGAACCCUUUACGGAUCCUUAGGUGCAUAGGUGCUGCGCACCCUGUUGUGCACCUUUGCCGCGCACCCUGUUGGACCCUUGCCGGACCCUGGGGUGCCUUAGUGCUGCACACCCUACCGAGCACCCUUGCUGCGCACCCUACUAGACCCUUGAUGGACCCUGGGGUGCAUGAGUGUUGUGCACCCUGCUGUGCACCCGGCUGCGCACCCUGAUGGACCCUUGUCGAACCCUGGGGUGCAUUAGUGCUAUGCACCUUGGCUGUGCACGAUGUUGCGCCUCCUUGCAUUAACUUGCCUUAAUUCCCCCACACUUAGCUUUUGCUAGUCCCUUAGCAAUUAGCAAAAUCAAAACAACAAGACUCAAAAACAAAAAAACAACAAAUAACGAACAAAACCUACUGCCCUUAACUAUUGUCUCAGAUUCUCCAAUCUCAUGGCAUCCAACUUAGCACUCAAUCAAGAAUUAUUCCAUGAAGUUUCAGAAGCUAAUUGCCAUGCAUAGAUCACAUAUUUACAUGUAGGACAUGGAAGAACAGUGGUGAUGGUUAAGCUCAGCAUGUUUCAGACAAAUAUGAUUCAAUCUCACAAGAUAUGCACUCAUUUUUCACACAGAUUUUCUGGCUGGGUCACUCAAAAUUANNNNNNNNNNNNNNNNNNNNAAAAAGUUUCGAAAGUUCACAAGAGUGAGUUCUAGUCAUCUCUAGUUCAUUAAAAGCUAUGGUGAGCAAUCAAUCAAAUUGAAAGAAUAAUGAGGUUUUUCAAACAAUUGUAGCCAAGAAAACGAAUCAGAAUAUUUCUAAAAGCACUCAGAAAGAAUGGUACAUAUAAAGGCUCAAAAGCUCACAUUAGGGUUCAUAUGAAUCAAAAUCUGACUUAACAUGCUCAUUUCUGUACCAAAGUUUCAAAACCACAUCCAAUACAUUUCAUAGAUUUCCACUCAUUGCAAUUAACUUCAGAAUAUCAGUUGGAAAUCAUCUCAAUCUUGUGAUCUGUCCUUUAUAUAUUUAGAGAAUUAUGCUCAUCAUAGAUAGUUAAGGGCUCCUAAGACUCAAAAAUAAAACAAAAGACUCAAAAAAACAAAACGAAAUUUUUUAAAUUUUAGACAUUUUUCAAUUUUUAUGAAUUUUCAAUAAAUGACUCAAUAAACAUGUAAAUCCUCAAAAAUUGACGUGCUCGAAACCGGGCUCGUAAUUUAAAAACCUUUUUGUUAUCAGUAUGUAGUAUUGGCAAAUAGGGUUCGAUCAAUCCGGGGACCUAAAGGGCGCUCCUGCAGUCAUGGUUACACUAAAGAAUUAGUAACAGAAAGUAAUCACACGUAUUCAGUUACAAAUAUAUACACAGUACAAUAGAUAAAAAGGGGGGGUUUUCAAGGUUUGUUUACUAAAUUCCUACGAAAAUAGUAGGGAAAAGAACUAAACUACUAUUUACAAGUGAUCGACUUCCAACUCACACAAACAUAUAAAAUCAUGUAAACAGGUUGUUUCAAGCUAUACAACUUAAAAAUCAUGCCAAUCAAGUAUUAUGAAACGAAUCCAGAAUUACACGCCUCAGCGGUCAUGCAACCUAUAAUAUCUUCUUAAGUAUCAUAUGUUUGCCUCAGCGGUUUAACACAGCAAAUUCCAUGCAAUAUGUCAUGUUAUUACUCAGCGCAACCAUACAACAUAUAACAUGAAUCAUUAAGAACAAAGAAGAAUUUGAACACAUAAACAUGUUUAUCUCAGCGCUUAAACAAGUCUACAUGCAACUCGUGAUCAAACCCGACCCAUUCCCAUGAAUCUAAGUUUUCGCCACUUAUUCAAUCUGUGUUUGCCUCAGCGGUUUAACACAGAUCAAUAGCACUACCAACCCUGCAGAAGUCAGCAAUUUAAAUAACCAGAUCACAAGUUUUCAAUAACAAGAAUGACAUGACGAUCAGUUAUGCAAAUCUCAUAAACAACUUAAAACAUGACUUUGUAAAUCUGAAAAUUAAUAUAACCAUAUUCUCAACAUCAAUCUCAAUCCAAAACGUAGGAAUUCUAAGAAUCUAACAAAAGAAAAUACUACAGAACAGAGAGAGAUCGAUUGAGGCAUUGUUACACUUUUUAUUCUCCACAGUGACUUUCUGAAGAACACCAAGAUAGAGCAAGCUUCAAUGGAUGGAGGCUCUGCUGUCUUGGAACGAAAAUGCUGAAGAGGAGGCUAUUGUGAAGUUAGGGCAGGUGUUUGUGCGUGAGAAGUGAUACUGAAAACGUUCCUCUCUGCUCCUUUAUAUAGUGGUCAUGACGACAUAGGGUUUUACUCCACACCAUUGAUUAAAAUCCGAUCCAAGGGCCACAAAUAAUAGCACAAUAUUUUCAGAGAAUAUUCCUUAGAAUUCUCUAGAAUAUCUUGCACAUUAAGAGUUUGAAUUCGGCUGGAAUUGUGGCUGAAUACAUUGCUUGUUUUCCAAAUUGAAAUCAGCUUGAAUCUCUCCUUGUUAAUUGCCGAUUUGCUGCUGAUAAUUCUUCCCAUAUUUGUGCCAUUUAAUGUCCCUAGAAAAGGAAUAUAAAUCAGACAUAAACUCUAGGAAUAUUAGGAAUUUAUAUGGAGAAAUAAAAGGUAAGAAUUUCCCUUAAUUUCCUUGAUGUUUGCUGCAUUAUCUCCAUAUAAAUUCGGCUGGAAACCCUAAAAAGAUGGUGCCAUUCUCCUCCUUUUAUGUGACAGAAUUUCGGCCUAAUCCAUGUAGGAUUUGGUUUCCUUGCUUCAUGUGGAAUC